rnacentral:lncRNA from 1 species
CCCUGCUCAGCCAUGACCACCAUCCUGCCCCCGCCUGGCCUGGAAGUGCCACAGUGACUCCACUCUGAAGCUCAGGGUCCCCAAAGAGACAAGCCCUAGACAAAGCCCCAGAGACCCAGCCUCACCUCCUCCCUCCUGGGUCCACUUCCCCACAUCCAGAGCACUGUGUGUCCCCCCACCCCCGCACCACCCAGCUCUCUUAGGCAGAUAGAAAACGGAAUCCAGGCACUUGCCUCUCUGAGCCGCAGUUUCCUUAUCUGCACGACGGUCCUCAAAGUAAUCCCCACUUCCCAGGCUGGCCAUGAGGACCAAAAGGACAGUGAGCAAACGGACCUUCCUCCAGUGAGGUGGCCCCAUCUUCAGCCCGUUCCCCCGAAGUGGACACAAACCCCUUGUGGCUUCAGCCUCCAGCAUCUAAACCAUUGACUUCAGGUCCCGACAGCAGCAUGUGAGGAACUCGAGGCCCAGAGAGGGGAAGUAACUUGCCCGUAGAAGGCAGAGCCAGGAUUGGAACCGAGGCAGCCAGCAUGCUUCACUUCUCCACGUGACCCCUCUGGCUGUCCAGCCCAGACCUGCGACCUGGGCUGGAGGCUGGACGUCCCUCCUGAUUUCACCGUCCGUGCCUGGCCCCACCACAGCUCCCACCUCUGUGUUAAGGCCUAUUUGCUCCAUGUCCCGCCUCGGCCAACCCCAGACUGGGAGCAUCUCAGGGCCGUUCACGGCCAUGUCCCCACCCCCAGCACUGCGGGCUUGGCACACAGCAGGGCCGGGGUCCGUGUUCUAGGAGGAACGGUGAUUCCAGCUCAGGUCUGCCUCAGCUCCCCCACAGUGCCCUCUGC